UCCGCUACCGAAGGAGCUUGCCGGAGCUCUGAAAGCUCGGAAGAACGACAUUCCUAUGAAGACUUUGUUGACGAUAUGCGAGGGACGUGAAGGUACAGAGUUAUCAGAUGGAGAUGUGUUGCUUUUUCCUGAAAUGAUUAGGUACAGGUAAUGUUAUAAUGCCCUAGGGUUUUGAUUUUGUAUUUUUGUUAGUUAGUUAGUUAUGACAGGUUCACACGUAUUUGUAUGUUCACAUAGUAGUCGAGAUAAAAGGUGUGGAUUUUGUGGGCCAAUUCUAAU